AUUGUGCUGGGGCAUUUGUGUGGGACUCUUCCCGUCCUUUUUUUGCAUACUGCAGCUUUGAGACAAGCGACGUGGAACUUCUGGAGCAAUUUUGCUCAGGCUUGAGUGAAGAGUGAACACAGGGACGCAGCGAUGAAUAUUUGCAAGCUGUCACCUGGCUCUGCAACUCUGCUGAUCUGAAAACCUGAAGAUCCUUGCAGUUCUUUUAUAAAUGCAAUGAUGUAAAUGAUUCAUAAGUGCAGAGAUGCCAGCUGUCAGUGCCACAACCAGGACCAUAUUUACCUCCUUGCUGGUGUUUGCUGUGGCAGCAGUGGCAGUAUACACAAAGUUAUCAUCACCCACCAGUGACUCUUCAGUGGAAAGUGAUGGCUGGGGUCUUCCAGCAAGUGGCUUCUGAUUUUCCCAUAUGCUGUGACUGAGCUACCUGAAGUGGACUAAUUGAAGAGUCAACAUGGGAGAUUUUACUGAUGCCUGUUAAACUGAUGCAAGACCUCAAUGGCAGUGAAUGCCUUGAUGAAAGGAGAAUUAUCUUCCAUUACUUGCUGUUGGGAUUCAGUUGGCACUUAUGCAGCUUGUCUUGCUGAGAUACUGUUCAGGGAACUGAGAAGCAUCAGUCUUGGGAAACACACACAGAAUGACUCAAAAUGCCCCAAAGCCUUUUGUUUGCAAAGACUUGAACAGGACCUUGAGAAGGGCCUCUGUGA